rnacentral:rRNA from 1 species
UACGUAGGUGGCAAGCGUUGUCCGGAUUUACUGGGCGUAAAGGGAGCGUAGGUGGAUAUUUAAGUGGGAUGCGAAAUACUCGGGCUUAACCUGAGUGCUGCAUUCCAAACUGGAUAUCUAGAGUGCAGGAGAGGAAAGUGGAAUUCCUAGUGUAGCGGUGAAAUGCGUAGAUAUUAGGAAGAACACCAGUGGCGAAGGCGACUUACUG